UACGGAGGGUGCAAGCGUUAAUCGGAAUUACUGGGCGUAAAGCGCACGUAGGUGGUUUUCUAAGUCAGCUGUGAAAUCCCCGGGCUCAACCUGGGACUUGCAGUUGAAACUGGAAAGCUAGAGUAGGGUAGAGGGGUGUGGAAUUCCAGGUGUAGCGGUGAAAUGCGUAGAUAUCGGGAAGAACACCCGUGGCGAAGGCGGCAACUCUGGGACGGUACUGGACGCUGAGACGCGAAAGCGUGGGGAGCGAACAGG
rnacentral:rRNA from 1 species